CCUACGGGAGGCAGCAGUGGGGAAUUUUGGACAAUGGGCGAAAGCCUGAUCCAGCAAUGCCGCGUGAGUGAAGAAGGCCUUCGGGUUGUAAAGCUCUUUUGUCAGGGAAGAAACGGUGAGAGCUAAUAUCUCUUGCUAAUGACGGUACCUGAAGAAUAAGCACCGGCUAACUACGUGCCAGCAGCCGCGGUAAUACGUAGGGUGCAAGCGUUAAUCGGAAUUACUGGGCGUAAAGCGUGCGCAGGCGGUUUUGUAAGUCUGAUGUGAAAUCCCCGGGCUCAACCUGGGAAUUGCAUUGGAGACUGCAAGGCUAGAAUCUGGCAGAGGGGGGUAGAAUUCCACGUGUAGCAGUGAAAUGCGUAGAUAUGUGGAGGAACACCGAUGGCGAAGGCAGCCCCCUGGGUCAAGAUUGACGCUCAUGCACGAAAGCGUGGGGAGCAAACAGGAUUAGAUACCCUGGUAGUCCACGCCCUAAACGAUGUCUACUAGUUGUCGGGUCUUAAUUGACUUGGUAACGCAGCUAACGCGUGAAGUAGACCGCCUGGGGGUAGGUUACGGUUCGUCGAGAAGUUAAACGUUAACGAAGGAAGUAGACGGCGNGAGACGNGCGACGGACGACGACGAGGGAGGAGG
rnacentral:rRNA from 1 species